rnacentral:pre_miRNA from 1 species
UCUUAAGGAUGAGCAAAGAUGGUGAUUUUCUGAGAUGGAAUCUACUCCUGGUGAAGAUGCUGUGAG